rnacentral:lncRNA from 1 species
ACGAAACAGAGUUGUGGUGCAUAGCGUCCACUCUUUGGAACUGCGCCGUGGGGCUCUCUAAUGUGGAAACCUUGCGGGCGGGCGGCGUAAACAUGUCGGUGCAGCUGUGUACGACACGUACGGCAGUCCCAGCGGCAGCGGCGGCACCAGUGGACCAGGGAAAUGGCGGUGGCGACGGCGGCCGUACACGGGCGGGGAGUCACGGCCGACGCAUCCGAAUGCUGACCCACAUCGCCUGGGUACGGCACCUUGCCUGCGAUGCCGCCGCGCUGAUUCCCGUACAGCGGC